rnacentral:rRNA from 1 species
AAUAAUGCAAUUUAAUUUUUUUAAGAAUUAAUUAAUAUGAUAUUUUAAAUUUAUUUUAAAGUUUAUUAGGUGAAAUUUUAAAUUUUAAUAAAAUUUUUUUAUUGUUUAUGAAUUUUAAGAAAUUUUGGUUUAAACUAGGAUUAGAUACCCUAUUAUUAAAAAUGUAAAAAAGAUUCUUGAUUAUUAACAGUUAUGGUCUUGAAAAUUAAAAAAUUUGGCGGUAUUUUAGUCUAUUCAGAGGAAUCUGUUCUAUAAUCGAUAAACCACGAAUUAAAUUACUUUUUUUAUUAGUUUAUAUAUCGUCAUAGUUUGAAUAUUUUAUAAGAAUUUAAAUAUUCAAAAUUUACUUUAUAAAGAAAAUUAGAUCAAGGUAUAGCUUAUAAAAAAGUAGAAAUGGAUUACAUUAAUUAUAAUUUAAAGAUUAAAAAUUGAAAAUUUUUAUGAAUUUGGAUUUGAUAGUAAUUUAAUUAGAUUAAUUAAAUGAUUUAGGCUCUAAAAUAUGUACAUAUUGCCCGUCGCUUUCACCUUAAAGUGAAAUAAGUCGUAACAAAGUAGGCUUACUGGAAAGUGAGUCUAGAAUGACAAAUUAGAGCUUGAUAUAAAGUAUUUUAUUUACAUUAAAAAGUUAAUUGUGAAAUUCAAUUUAAUUUGAAAUAAGAUAAUUAUUAAAUAAAUAUAAUAAUUUUUGUGAAAAUAUAAGAAAAGAAAUUUUAUUUUAGUAAUAAUUAGAAAAAAAUUAAAUUUAUUAUAGAGAAUUAAAAGUAUUGUGAAAGAAAUUUUUAAUUAAAAGUAAGAAGAAUUAAAAUUUU